UGUAAUAAUUCAGAAGAUAUGGGUAGGUUUGCUAUAUAAUACAUGUAAAGGAGAGGGGCAUGAUUUGUAAUAAUUCAGAAGAUAUGGGUAGGUUUGCUAUAUAAUACAUGUAAAGGAGAGGGGCAUGAUUUGUAAUAAUUCAGAAGAUAUGGGUAGGUUUGCUAUAUAAUACAUGUAAAGGAGAGGGGCAUGAUUUGUAAUAAUUCAGAAGAUAUGGGUAGGUUUGCUAUAUAAUACAUGUAAAGGAGAGGGGCAUGAUUUGUAAUAAUUCAGAAGAUAU